GAUUGUAACUCAUUGAAUAAAAUGGCAAACCAUGAGUCCAUACAGACAUAAAUACCUAAAUGGAUAUGUUUAGAA